GUGGGUGAGAGGGAGGGGGGGGGGUGUAAGACGCUAUUCCAUUGGAUAGUUUUCGCCCCCCCUCUUCGAUCUGCUCAGCAUUCAGGAAGCGAUCGCUGCCUCUGACGCCAUGAGGUCACAGUUGUUCGCCGGCAGAGACGCGCACGGACGCACCGCUCCUGUCCGAUCGUCCGCUUCUCGGCGCUUUAAAAAGAAAAGCGAGCAGGAUUUCUUUCAAGAACUGCGCGGUUGGUCGACAGAGCCGCGAGGGACUAUCAAGGGAGAAAUCGACCCCCUCCGAUAAGUUGUUUUCUUCCGCGAGCCGCAGUUUGCCACUGGAACCAUGGUGGCGGCGGUCAUCCCCUUGUACUUCUUUGGAACGGCGCUGAGCGUCCUCGCAGUCCUCUACGGGAUUGUGGACUCCUUUGGGGGGCUGAUGUACGUCCAGGACUGUCCCCACGUCAUGGACUUUGACUGGCAGACGCAGUGGCAGCUCUCCCCGGGCCGCCAACGGAGAGCAUCUCCUCCGGCCAAGAACGUCGGCUCGUGAGGGGACGCGUCUCGUGUUUUAUUUUGCUGCUGGCUGGACCAUGUGGCCAACGGAUGGAUAUUCAGGACAUCUGACUCUCGUCUGCGCUGAACGGAUUGUUUGAACCAUGUCCACGGGUUCCAGAGAGCUCCCACGUCUGCGCGCGGUGCCUUCAAACGCGGCUCGCGGGCAAACUUGACGCCAGAAAUGUUGCAGCACUACUGAAUCAUUUGCACUAACAAUCGGAAUGUUUUGUCUUUUUCAAUAUUACCGGAUUAAAAUGAUUUGGUUUAAAGGUGUAACAGUGAGUAAAAAAACUGCACCCUCCACAAAUAUUUACUCCGGAUGUUAUACGGUUGUAAGUCGGGUUGAAAAGUAUGUAGUGAAAGACUGAAAGCAAUUUGGAACUAAAGGAAUCUCACGUUGUCGCUAUGAAUACUUAUCAGUCCUCACCCUCUAAGCACAGGAGACAAAACAAGCUCGGCCUCCGAUCUGCCGUGUAGGAAAGAAGAAGUUUAAUCAGUGAUCGUUCCCUUUUCUGGUUGCGCAACAGGAAAGGGAUUAUGUUCACGAGGAUCAUUGUCCCUGUGGUCCGUCAACAAAGGCGCGGGGAAUUCUCCCUGAUGUUUACCCGCUUUCAGGUUAGCGUUUUACUUCCUGUGUGGAUCAGUGUCAUUGGGUCCAGGUUUUAAUGGUCAAAGGUCAAUCUGAGUUCCCACAAUGGAUUUUUGGGCAAGUGUACAUAAGUGAUGACAAUUUCCUACAAUUGUUUUAUUGGAAAACAUUAAAAUGGUUGAGACAUGCAAACCGGUAAUUCUUCCGUCAUGACUUGAUGAGCGGUAAAAGUGAGAGUAUUCCUCGGUGAGAGCCGUUUAGCACAUGUUGAAACGAAUAUCCAGCACACGAUGUGGAAGCUGAACAAUGUGAAUCACGAUUAUCUGUCGCUGAGUCAGUCGGCCCUCAGCCGCGGGACUCCGCAGGCCGACAGCUCGUCAAAAUGAGUGCAAACCCACAUAAACAAACUGAACUACUGAACUCAAGGGUCCCAGGCACGUAAGAUAAGGAAAUACAAAAUGAUGAAAUUACACCUAAAAUAACACACCGUGCUCGUUACUAGAAAAAUGAAAUACCGUCUCAAGCAAAGGGACGUAGUCAUGGUCAGGGUGGAUUAAUAAAAGGUGGAUUAAUCAAUGCGGCUGCUGCUUCGGCUUUGAGCGGUGAAACAAAUCACCUCAUUAGACCGGAAUGGAGGAAACGGCACCCAAAUGAAAGCUCGUGGGAACCUUAGAUUUCCCAAUAUAAGUGACGUAAAUGGUUCAGCCGUGGUUGUAUUUCACGGCGCUCCCUGGUUGGUUUGGCUGUUGCUCUGUGUUGAUGCUGCAGGCCUGUGGGGGGGUGGGGGGGGGGCAGCAUUAGUCAGCACACCUGGGCCUGCUGGGCCUCCGCUCCCCACAUUCAGCGGUUCCCUCCCUGCUGACUUUACAGAUGUGUGCUACCCUUUUGUUCCCAUCGCAAGAUCGCCUUUGGUUUGUAUUUGUUUUGUUUAUUUUAAGAAUUGUUGUAAAUAAAUAACUUGUGUUGUAUAAACUGUCUCCGUUUUUUUCAGCAACACUUUCACAUAUUCAAGUGUUUUCCAAUCCAAAAAACUCAUAACAGUGUUUGUCAGUGCAAAGACAAAACGGUUGCACUCGUACAGAAAUACUUCACAAAGACAACGUCUGGAAAUCCCAAAAAGCCUGUUGGUGUUAUGGGAAGUGUACGAGUCAUCAUUGAUGACUAUUAGGGUCCGUAUGCUUCUCUGCUCAUGAGUUUACUUGCCUUUAGGGUACCAAAAAAACCCAUAAAAUACAGUGGAGCUUGAACAGUUCGGGUCCCAUUGAGCGCUUCCCAGUCACGACGUUCCUCUGUCCUCAGUGGGGGUGAGGACGUGUUCCAGGCGGUUCUCGCUCCACUACAGAAGUUGACCUUUUUUUAAAACUGUCAAAAGACUAAACAAGCAAGCGCUUGGUCUCCUGUCUGGCAUGUGGACAAGACGUUUAAUGAUGAUUGCGCAACAGGAAAACAGGGAUUAUGUUCGCUAGGGUCAUCGUGUCACACGUAUGACCACACCCUAGUUUGGUUUCAUCUCACCUGCUCUCACUUCGGAUCCUCCCACAUCAGCUCAUUACCCUCACCUGCUUCUCCACGCCCUUCUCCCCUGCAGUGACGUACAUGUAGGAACAAAUAUCCAACCCCCAAUCUGGAAGCCGAACAAUGUGAAUCACAAUUAUCUCUCACUGAGUCACUUGGCUGCAACCGUGGAAUUCCACAGGCGAUUGACUCGGGCCGACAGCUCGUCAAAAUGAAUGAAAGCCACAUCAACGCUUUGUUGAACGAAACCGACCGAACUGUUGAGUAGUUCAGUCUGUUCCGUUCGGGGUCCCCGGCACGUAAGAUAAGAUGAGACAAUAUACUUCAACUAAAAGGAAAUCUAGUUGGUGCAGCAGCACAAGGAGACAAAUGAAAAAAGGAAAUACAAAAUGAGAAUUCCACUUGAGGUGGUACUAGAAAAAUGAAAUACCGUCUCAAGCAAAGGGACGUAGUCAUGGUCAGGGUGGAUUAAUACAUGGUGGAUUAAUCAAUGCGGGUGCUGCUUCGGCUUUGAGCGGUGAAACAAAUCACCUCAUUAGACCGGAAUGGAGGAAACGGCACCCAAAUGAAAGCUCGUGGGAAGCUUAGAUUUCCCAAUAUAAGUGACGUAAAUGGUUCAGCUGUGGUUGUAUUAUUAUACAGCAUUAGUCAGCACACCUGGGCCUGCUGGGCCUCCGCUCCCCACAUUCAGCGGUUCCCUCCCUGCUGACUUUACAGAUGCGUGCUACCCUUUUGUUCCCAUCGCAAGAUCGCCUUUGGUUUGUAUUUGUUUUGUUUAUUUUAAGAAUUG
ensembl:lncRNA